AGGCAUAUCACCCUUUGGAUCCAGCCCCUAAUAGUGAGACGAUCUAAGACGUCGUCCUUAGCCAAGGAUUCCUCUAUGGCUUUGAAAAUUUUGAUCGCUGGACCCAAAAUAUCCAAGACUAAAAAGUGAAAAAUCUAAGCCUUUCUUAGGCUUCCAACCAGUUUUACUUAGAAACUGUAUGAUCUUGGGGAGUCUUACAGACAUCGUCUGGUAUGGUGGGGCGUGGGCAUUCAGCCCUUAAUUUAUUUCGGCCUGCCUUAUCCAGAGGCUUGCGGACCUGG